rnacentral:rRNA from 1 species
AGACAUAGCCAUAUCACCCUGCAGCCCAAGACUGGUUGCCCACUGAAGCUAAGCAGGGUUGAGCCUGGUCAGUACCUGAAUGGGAGACCUCCUGGGAAAACUAGGUUGCUGCUG